CCAAGAAUAUUAGUCAAUGCUCGCAAGAGUGAACGAGCUAACUGAAAGAAUAUACAAUCUAAAGUUAGGAAUCUUAUAAUUUAUAUUAUAAGUUUAAAGACGAAUCUAACUAAUAGUGUCGUCCAAAUUCUGGUGCCAGAAGACUCGGUAAUACCAGAGACGCGAACGUUAAUCAUCUUGAAUGGGCAUAAAGGGUUUGUAGGCGGCUUAUUUAUUAAUAGGCUAGAAUCUUAGAGAGGUUAAUAAAAUACUUAGAGGAGGGCUGAUAUCCAUAGAUCCUAAGUGGAAUCCUAAUUGCGAAGGCCAUUUUCCACUACAGAUUGACGCUGAGAAACGAAGGUUAGGAUAGGAACUAGGAUUAGAGACCCUAUUACCCCUAACUGUAAACGAUGAAUGGAAGAUAUUUACAAUUGUAAGUGUCGAAGUGAAUACGAUAACCAUUCCGCCUUGCCAGUAUACUUGCAAAAGUGAAAACAAAAAAAUUAGUCGGUCCUAAAGCAAACGAAGUGAAGCAUGUUAUUUAAUU
rnacentral:rRNA from 1 species